CAUGUGUAGUGACGUCAUACCACGUGUAGUGACGUAAUACAACGUGUAAUGACGUCAUACCAUGUGUAGUGACGUCAUACCACGUGUAUGGAAACAGCGUUGUGAUUUGAGAUAACUCUUAUUUAAAUCAACACGAAUAGAAUUGGACCACAAUUUUAAGAGAAAUCCAUCUCGUGAUCACUUCUCUCUGUUGAUGUGCCUCAGCCUCUUAUUAAGCUUAUCAUCUUUAUUACAUUACUUGAGCUUAUUUUGUAUAGGCUUCAGCAAACUGCUGUCUAUUAUAUUGACAACUGAGUAUUAUAUAUAACUUUACUUACAUGCGCCUAUGGCUAGGCAAAUCGUUGACAUAAUUAAGACACAAUUAGUUGGAUAACUGAUAAACUGCAUCAAAACAGUUUAUCCUAGUUGAAUAGUUAAUUAAUUAGUUAGUUAAUUAGUUAAUUGACCAGCUGUUCUGAUUCCUUGUGAUUGUAUCUUGUCUUCAUUUUGGAAGAUAAAGUUAAAAAUGAAGUGAAUUUUAUAGUUUAAUUGUGAUACUUUGAUUUUGAAUCAUUUUUUGAAUCAUUUAAUCUUGUAUUGAUGGUGAUGGAUUUAUGAAGCUCAGGCGUAUAUAAAUAUCAUGUAACAAUCAAGAAUGUUGGGUUUAUUUAAAUGAAAACUAAAUCAAAAUGUGAUUAAUUGUUCUUUGAAUAAAAUCUUUAAAUUCUGUAAAUUUUCCACUUUCCAGUGAGAAACCUUUGUGACAGCCUAUUGAGAUAGCAAUGAGGCAAAUAUUUGCACUGUUAAGUGAAAUGUGUGGUAUUUGUGUAUAACUUACUGAAAUAUAUGUUUGAUAAUAUCUGUUCAACUUUUGUAACACCUGAUAAUUUGAUAAAUUGACUUUUACUAGAUUCAUUGUGA